rnacentral:rRNA from 1 species
CGGGUGAGUAACACGUGAGUGACCUGCCUUUUAGACUGGAAUAACUUACCGAAAGGUGAGCUAAUGCCGGAUGAGUUAUAUAAGUGCAUGUUUAUAUAGGAAAAGUUGGGGAGACCUGACGCUGAAAGAUGGACUCGCGUCCCAUUAGCUAGUUGGUAGGGUAAUGGCCUACCAAGGCGACGAUGGGUAGCCGGCCUGAGAGGGUGGCCGGCCACACUGGGACUGAGACACGGCCCAGACUCCUACGGGAGGCAGCAG